rnacentral:rRNA from 1 species
UACGUAGGCCUCGAGCGUUAUCCGGAUUUAUUGGGCGUAAAGAGCAUGUAGGAGGCUUCACAAGUCUUUGGUUAAAGACCACCGCCUAACGGUGGGAGUGCCGAGGAAACUGUGGAGCUGGAGGAGGUUAGAGGUGCAUAGAACGCAUGGUGUAGGGGGUGAAAUCCGUUGAUAUCAUGCGGAAUACCAAAGGCGAAGGCAGUGCACUGGGACCUUCCUGACUCUGAGAUGCGAAAGCGUGGGGGAGCAAAAAGG